rnacentral:rRNA from 1 species
UACGUAGGGGGCAAGCGUUGUCCGGAUUCAUUGGGCGUAAAGAGCGUGUAGGCGGCCAGGCAGGUCGGUUGUGAAAACUGGAGGCUCAACCUUCAGAGGUCGACCGAAACCAUCUGGCUAGAGUCCGGGAGAGGAGAGUGGAAUUCCUGGUGUAGCGGUGAAAUGCGCAGAUAUCAGGAAGAACACCAGUGGCGAAAGCGGCUCUCUGGAACGGUACUGACGCUGAGACGCGAAAGCGUGGGGAGCGAACAGG